UAGUUAAUGGUGUGGACCCAAUUUGAGUUAUUAGUUUCAAAGCAUUAUCAGAAUAUUAGUGCAUAGUCGUGUAUAGCCGUUUAAGGAAUACAGAAAGGUCGUUUACAAUUGAUAAUCCAAAUAACUUUCUAUUCCAAUACCAUUAUUGCAGAUUUUUGUUUUCUAUGCUUGGUAUCUUCCAUAAAAACUCUAACAAUGCCAAUGAAAAUCACAACUUCUCAUCUUCAAGCUUCAAGUUCGAACCUUAAUUGUAAGUUCAGAUGAAACAGCGGUGGCGGUGAGGGUUUUAGAUUCUGAAUCAAGCUUCUUGAUAUCUUUUUCUUCUUUCGCCUUUGUUUAUGCUUAUUUCUGAAUCACUUUUAAAAUAAUCACUUUCUAAUACAUGGAGAAGAUAUGAAAGAUGGAAGUUGUUUAUUAUGAACAUUUCGAGUUCAUUGGCGAUGCCAUUUUAUAACUCAUUAUCAGCCACCACCUUUUAUUUUGAUAAAUUGACAAUUUGAAUUUUGAUGUUUGUGAUUUUUUUCUUUGCAUUUUGAGAUUAAGAUGCUAAAAUUUAGAUCUGUUUUUUCUUUGAUGUCAUAGGAUAUUCUUGGAUUAGAUUGAUUGUUCAUCUACUCUUCCAAUGUUCUUAUUUUCUUUCUCUUUCGUUUUCUCCAAUUUUUCUCCCCUUAAUUUCUAUUUUUAUGUUUUCUCUUUCAAAAGCUUUUGUAUAUGCACACCAUCUAUUUAAUAAAAUAUUGUAAAGGAUUCUCACCAACAUUAUCAUACCUUAUGAGGUUUGUCUUAUGAGACAUUAGAUUGACAUGCAUACUCUGAGACCUUAGAAGUGUAAUGAAUUUUUUUGGCUAAAGCAAAAACAUCAAAAGCAUGCCAGGUGGAUAUCUACAAUAAGGACCUAUUCCAUUUGCUGAGACCUUGGUCAAUCUAUCCUUCAGAUAUAAUUGGUCGUGUCAUUAUCCUUCGAGUUGUUUGAAUCUUGAAGAUUGACUUCAUACGUCUCCUCAUGUCGAUAUAUAUGUUAUUGGGUUUUUAUGUUUCAAGAGAAGCUAGAAGAGAAAGAUUAAGAGAUCUAAAGACUCAAAAAUUAACUCCAACAAAAUAACGUAAUGGUCCAAGGAGGAUGGAAGAUCUAAUGAAACUUUAAAUAAGAGUGAGGGGGAUUUGAUGAUUGUCGAGAAGACUGCAAAUGAAUUGCAAAUGAAUUAACUAUGUUAAAUUUUGUUCUCUAAGAAACAUUUUUUUUUAUAAGUUUCUACAUGUGUAUUUUGAUUGA